AUCUAAUAUAAAAAUACUAAUAUCAAUUAAAAAUCAUCCUUAAAAUUUCAAGAGAAACGAAAUUAAAAUGAAAGAGAAAACUCACCUUAAGGUCGCGGGUUCUCCCUUCGUUGGCUGUGAGAUUUCGCUCUCCUUUUCUCUUAUUUCUUUGUUUUUCUCCUUUCUUUCUUCCUUCCUCUCUCUUCCUCUCACAAUUUAGAUAAGAGUGUCCUCAAGGAAAAACUCCCAAAUUCCAUCAAUUUCCCUCACUUUUAUUGGAUUUCUUCCCUUUUCCUCUUCUCUUUCUCUCUCUUCUUUCUCUUUUUAACCUU
rnacentral:lncRNA from 1 species